CUCAUCUUGAGACUCUGACUAUUAUGGGUUGAAUUAUGCUUCCCCAAACUCAGGUGUUCAAGUCCUAACCUGAUAUUACCCCAGAAGUGACCUUAUUUGGAGAUGGGGUCAUUAUAGAAAUAAUCAAGUUAAAAUGAAGUCCACUGGGUGCACCUUAAUCAAUAUGACUCAUAUUCUUAUGAAAAGGGAAAAUCAGAAGACAGAGGAAGACAACAUGAAGAUAUAAGGAAAAGGACAUGUGAACAUUAAGACCAACCGCCAUCCACAAGCCAGGGAGAAAUGUCUGGAACAGAUCCUUGCCUCUCAGCUCUCAAAAGGAACCGACUCUGCCAACAAUUUAAUUUUGAAUUUCUAGUCUUCAGAACUAGGAGAUAAUACAUUUCUAUUAUUCAAGCCACCUGUUCUGUGGCUGUACAUGUGAGAGAGGGUGACAGAUUCCCAAAGGGUCCUUCAAGAUGGCAGCAGAAAAGCCAGAGGUGGGAAUGCAAGAGAUAAGGGGUGAAGUCGAUGUGAGGGGCUAUCAGGAUGCACCUGCGAGCAGAGGUACUGGCUGCAGCAGUGUCUGCAGUGGAAGGUGAGCCAAGGGGAAGAGACAGGGUGCGGGAAGAAACUACCACAUCUCAACAUAUCAGUUCUAACCGACUUGUAGUGGCUGCUGGGAGUCUGGGAUUAAGAAGAAUCCAUAAGCUGAGUCUGGACUUAUCAGCAAAGAACCCCAUGUCCAUGAGGAAUGAAGUUGAGGAGGACUGUAGUGAACAGAGCCGCCGGAAAGCAACACAACAGUUUGAAAAUGCUCUCACUCACAGGAAUGUUUAGAUUCCACUAUAAGAUGUAACACAGAACAACAUUCUUUUGUCAGUGUCCGACAAAACAAAUCUUUCAUGAGUUGGAUUGGCAGAUAAUAACCAGUUCCUUUGGAUUCAUGUGCUUUCGAUCAAAGAGAAUAAACCGUAAGAAGAAUGGCAAUGAGUGUUUUCCACAUUAAUAUCAUCAGAUGGUGACAUGAUAUUGACUUUUCAGAGAAGGAAAAAGAGGUUUGUGAGUUAUGCAUAAUUCAUAGAUUUCUGAGUCUUAUAGCAUUCUGGACACAGGUCUUAUUCGAGCUACAUCCCCAUGCCAUAGAGCGUUGAAAAGGUCAGAUCCUAUGGUAUGUGUGAAGCUCCUUGGAUGGGAGAAGUAUACAUUCUUCUGGAUGCUGUUUGUCAUCUGUCCCUCAGAAUUCCUUCCCUGGCUUUGCCUCUGCCAACCAAGUGUGUUUUGUCAACACUUUUGCCAACUUCUUUCUCCUUCCUUCAGGCAUAAGCUACCCUAUUCUCCACAGCAAUUCUGUCACAACAAAGCUGCUAUUGUCACAGGAUUUUAAUAAAGAUUUGGGAAUAGUAGAAGGAUCAGAAUACAGAGGAGAAGCUAACUGGAUGGCUCACCUCAGUAUUCCUAAAGUAUGUGGCCAGUCCUUCUCUAGGAGAACCCAUUAGUGGCCAUCUUUCUCUUCAGCCAUAAUUGUCUCGUGUUACUGGGGGGGUCUGCAAGUUCCCAUCUUCCCACUUCCUACAUUUCGUGGGGUCCCUAAUACUUCCUUCCCUUCUAGCUGCCAGGGGGGAAGUCAAGAAUCCUUGUAAUUUUAUCAUACAACAUACAAUCUGGCUUCUGCCCUUUCUCAGUAUCUUCCUUCCAAACUAGCCCACAGGCCGUUCUUUACCAGAAUGACAAUAAGACUUGGAAAUAAAUCCUCCCAAAGAAAAGUGAUAAAUCCUGCUACCUGUUUAGAACACAGCUCCAGUGUUUUCACUUAAAAAAAUUUUUUUAAGGCAAUUUUAUU
rnacentral:lncRNA from 1 species